rnacentral:rRNA from 1 species
CCUACGGGAGGCAGCAGUGAGGAAUAUUGGUCAAUGGACGGAAGUCUGAACCAGCCAUGCCGCGUGCAGGAAGACGGCUCUAUGAGUUGUAAACUGCUUUUGUACAAGGGUAAACCUGAAUACGUGUAUUCAGCUGAAAGUACUGUACGAAUAAGGAUCGGCUAACUCCGUGCCAGCAGCCGCGGUAAUACGGAGGAUCCAAGCUUUAUCCGGAUUUAUUGGGUUUAAAGGGUGCGUAGGCGGGUUGAUAAGUUGGAGGUGAAAUUUCCGGGCUUAACUUGGGAACUGCCUAUAAUAUUGUUGAUCUAGAGAGUAGAUGCGGUAGGCGGAAUGUAUGGUGGAGCGGUGAAAUGCUUAGAGAUCAUACAGAACACCGAUUGCGAAGGCAGCUUACCAAUCUAUAUCUGACGUUGAGGCACGAAAGCGUGGGGAGCAAACAGGAUUAGAUACCCUUGUAGUC